rnacentral:piRNA from 1 species
CCAGCAGUAUCACUCAAUUCCACAUGUA